AAAUUAGAAUUAACAUACAUCUUUAAUAAGAGUUAUUUUUAUACAUAUCUAAAAACAAUUUAUAGGCUUUACGCUUGAAAUGAGCUGGAAGAUCUUAUAUCUCGUGGCAACACAUUAUGAAAAUAUGCUCAACUGUACCGAAGUCCACUCCUGGUGAUUGUUAGUUUAUGGUUUGGUACCCCCCAUAAGUCCAUAUUGGCAGUGCUUGUAUGUCGCUGGGAAACUGUUGACAAUGGUUUGAACAUAUUACUUAAAGGUGAUCUACAGUCCGAUCUGCGCAUGUGCACAAAUGAGCCCACUUUUUAUGAUACAAACAGUUUAACUAUGUUUUGAGUUCUUGAAAAGCCUAAUUGUUGUUUCUUGAUCAUUUAUUAUACUCUAGAAGCUUGAAAAUAUAAAUAGUUGUCGAAUAAAGCUCAAUAUUUUGGACACAAACAUGUAAACAAAGGCAUACGGACUGUAGAUCACCUUUAAAUAGUCUGGAUUCAAGUUAUUUAAAGAUUUAUAAACUAGGCAAACCACCUUAUACAUAACUCUGUACUUUAUCGGUAAAAUGUUUGGCUGUUCGAAAAGUGGUUUAGAUGGAGAAAGUUUAGAUUUAUCAUAAAUUAAAUUAAAUUUUUGUAGUUUAUAUAUUCUUGAAGUGUGUGGUGAUUGUCCCCAAACGGUGCAGCAAUAAUCAAUCCUUCGUUGAAAGAACGUUUUAUAAAAUAGAAUCCUUGUUUGAAGUGGCAGAUACAUUUUGAUUCGGCGGAACAGAGCGAUACGUUUAUUCAGAUUAGAAGCUAGAUUAACAAUCACACCCAGCAAUCUUUUUUAUUCUACACUUUCAAGCAUGGUAUUGUUGUGAUUCGUAUGGAGUUCGGAAGACCCAAUUUUCAUAGAUUUUUAAUAUGUACAAAUCACCAUUGAUUUUGUGUUCUCGUAAUAAAUCACCAUCCAUUAAAUGCGCUCCAUUGCUCAAUGUCUUCCAUGGCAGACGAGAGUGUACAAUUCGACUAGUUCACAGAAUUUCCAAUCGGAAUCAUCAGCAUUUAGAUCUAGGUUCUGGUUACUAUGCUAAGGGAGAUUGUGAACAAACAAAAUAAAUUAAGUGGUCCCACAAUACUUCCUUGUGGUAUGUCAAAUGAAAUGAGCUUUGGGAUGAGAAUAUCAAUGUUAAUCAUGUCAAAAGCUUUUAAGUGCAUAAGAAACUUCUUCUUUAGGGAC